UAUGCUUCAUGUACAUCAGCAACAUCAAAAUACAACAUCAAAAUACAGCCAUUCCGAUAAUAUGCAUGCUUUCCCAGUAAACUUUGGCCUUAAAGGAGAGGCUCUGAGCUCUACUUCCGACGUUGCUUUGUUUGGAAGGUGUUGCUAAAACUCAUGGGAGGCCAAAUGAACAUCGUAAGGUUUUGAAGGUACAGUCCUUUUGAGUUUUAGUUGGUAGUAUCCACUAGGAUAUGUAUAAAACUACUAACUUGGUCUUUGUUCGUGCCACGGGCAAGUGUUUG
rnacentral:misc_RNA from 1 species